rnacentral:rRNA from 1 species
GUUAAGCGACUAAGCGUACACGGUGGAUGCCCUGGCAGUCAGAGGCGAUGAAGGGCGUGCUAAUCUGCGAUAAGCGCCGGUAAGGUGAUAUGAACCGUUAUAACCGGCGAUACCCGAAUGGGGAAACCCAGUGUGAUUCGUCACACUAUCAUUAACUGAAUCCAUAGGUUAAUGAGGCGAACCGGGGGAACUGAAACAUCUAAGUACCCCGAGGAAAAGAAAUCAACCGAGAUUCCCCCAGUAGCGGCGAGCGAACGGGGAGGAGCCCAGAGCCUGAAUCAGCAUGUGUGUUAGUGGAAGCGUCUGGAAAGGCGCGCGAUACAGGGUGACAGCCCCGUACACAAAAGCGCAUGUGCUGUGAGCUCGAUGAGUAGGGCGGGACACGUGGUAUCCUGUCUGAAUAUGGGGGGACCAUCCUCCAAGGCUAAAUACUCCUGACUGACCGAUAGUGAACCAGUACCGUGAGGGAAAGGCGAAAAGAACCCCGGCGAGGGGAGUGAAAAAGAACCUGAAACCGUGUACGUACAAGCAGUGGGAGCCCCACCACUAAGCCAGU